UUAGAAUAUGAGAAACUAAGUUAUAUGUUUAGUUAUAUUUUUACUGAUUUUUAUAGAGUAAAGAUAGAAAUAAAACUUAGUAAAAUCAGUAAAAAUAUUCUUAGACUAAAGUUAAGUAGUUUAAGUUGUGUGCAAGUGGUAGGAGAGCGUUCUAUUUGCGUCGAAGGUAUACCGGUAAGGAGUGCUGGAGCGAAUAGAAGUGAGCAUGCAGGCAUGAGUAGCGAUAAUUAAUGUGAGAAUCAUUAACGCCGUAAACCCAAGGUUUCCUACGCGAUGCUCGUCAUCGUAGGGUUAGUCGGGUCCUAAGUCGAGUCCGAAAGGGGUAGACGAUGGCAAAUUGGUUAAUAUUCCAAUACCAACAUUAGUGUGCGAUGGAAGGACGCUUAGGGCUAAGGGGGCUAGCGGAUGGAAGUGCUAGUCUAAGGUCGUAGGAGGUUAUACAGGCAAAUCCGUAUAACAAUACUCCGAGAACUGAAAGGCUUUUUGAAGUCUUCGGAUGGAUAGAAGAACCCCUGAUGCCGUCGAGCCAAGAAAAGUUUCUAAGUUUAGCUAAUGUUGCCCGUACCGUAAACCGACACAGGUGGGUGGGAUGAGUAUUCUAAGGCGCGUGGAAGAACUCUCUUUAAGGAACUCUGCAAAAUAGCACCGUAUCUUCGGUAUAAGGUGUGGUUAGCCUUGUAUUAGGAUUUACUCCGAAAGCAAGGAAACUUACAACAAAGAGUCCCUCCCGACUGUUUACCAAAAACACAGCACUCUGCUAACUCGUAAGAGGAUGUAUAGGGUGUGACGCCUGCCCGGUGCUCGAAGGUUAAUUGAUGGGGUUAGCAUUAGCGAAGCUCUUGAUCGAAGCCCGAGUAAACGGCGGCCGUAACUAUAACGGUCCUAAGGUAGCGAAAUUCCUUGUCGGUUAAAUACCGACCUGCAUGAAUGGCGUAACGAGAUGGGAGCUGUCUCAAAGAGGGAUCCAGUGAAAUUGUAGUGGAGGUGAAAAUUCCUCCUACCCGCGGCAAGACGGAAAGACCCCGUGGACCUUUACUACAGCUUGACACUGCUACUUGGAUAAGAAUGUGCAGGAUAGGUGGGAGGCUUUGAGUAUAUGACGCCAGUUGUAUAUGAGCCAUUGUUGAGAUACCACUCUUUCUUAUUUGGGUAGCUAACCAGCUUGAGUUAUCCUCAAGUGGGACAAUGUCUGGUGGGUAGUUUGACUGGGGCGGUCGCCUCCCAAAUAAUAACGGAGGCUUACAAAGGUUGGCUCAGAACGGUUGGAAAUCGUUCGUAGAGUAUAAAGGUAUAAGCCAGCUUAACUGCAAGACAUACAAGUCAAGCAGAGACGAAAGUCGGUCUUAGUGAUCCGGUGGUUCUGUGUGGAAGGGCCAUCGCUCAAAGGAUAAAAGGUACCCCGGGGAUAACAGGCUGAUCUCCCCCAAGAGCUCACAUCGACGGGGAGGUUUGGCACCUCGAUGUCGGCUCAUCGCAUCCUGGGGCUGGAGCAGGUCCCAAGGGUAUGGCUGUUCGCCAUUUAAAGCGGUACGCGAGCUGGGUUCAGAACGUCGUGAGACAGUUCGGUCCCUAUCUGCCGUGGGCGUAAGAAGAUUGAAGAGAUUUGACCCUAGUACGAGAGGACCGGGUUGAACAAACCACUGGUGUAGCUGUUGUUCUGCCAAGAGCAUCGCAGCGUAGCUAAGUUUGGAAAGGAUAAACGCUGAAAGCAUCUAAGCGUGAAGCCAACUCUAAGAUGAAUCUUCUCUAAGCUCUCUAGAAGACUACUAGUUUGAUAGGCUGGGUGUGUAAUGGAUGAAAGUCCUUUAGCUGACCAGUACUAAUAGAGCGUUUGGCUUAUCUUU
rnacentral:rRNA from 1 species